UUUGUCAACUAAACAUGUUUUGUAAACGUUAUACAUUUUAUAAAAAUAUUUUAUAUUUUUAUUAUUGAUAAAGUAUAAAGAACAAAUCCGUGUGAAAACGCAGAUUAUAAAAAGUACAUAAAGUGCCAGCAGAGGAUCCAAAAUAAUGAAGAAAAAAAAACAUUUGAAACAUCCAAUGCAUCUUGGAACUCGUAGUCAAAUUUACAUCUGCAGCAUGUGAACGCCAGGGCAAAAGACUUCAAUUCCCAGAAUGCACCUGCACCCACCCAUUCAUUCCCACCAAUCAGGAUCAACGGCAUUAUUCAAACCGCUACUGAGUGACUCGGUUUUCGUUUUCAUGCUAAACAGUACGGCUGAGAGGUCAUGUACCAUGUGGUCGACCUUGCUGAUGCUGAAGAGGUUUCUGUGUUAAAAUGAUGACAUUGAGACAAACGGACCAGUUCCGGCUGCCGUGGAGGUCAACACACCACUGAUCUACUGGCUGCCCUUCAACGUGAUGCCCAGCCGAUGCCUGACCACCGACGGAACCCGCUAAAUCUCCUUAUCCGUUUACAUCCCAUAUAUAUAUGUGUAUAUCUUUUCCUCCUAGGACUUUUUGUUCCUCCCUGAGGUUUUUCUCCUAGGGGUUUUUCAACCUCGGGGAGUCAACCAACAUUGGCUUAACUUAGCACCCUCUUUUAUACGAGACAUUAUUAAUUUGCUCGCUUGUAAAGUUUAUUCAUAGCCGCUGUAUUUUGCUACUUAUAUUGUCUGUUGAUUUUUCUAUGUUUCCCCUGCUUCUUUUAAUGUAAAGCUGCUUUGAAACAACUACAAAUUGUGAAAAGCGCUAUAUAAAUAAAAUUGAAAUGUCUCUUUCCUGUUUUACAGAUGCAGUGAGGGAGUGAUUUCCCAACAUCGAGGUGGCAGAGAUCCGGGACCUUCUACGGAGGAAGUGCAACAAUGCCAGUUACAAGGCCUCCAGUAGUUCAAAUCAGAGCUAGAUGUGCAUAUAGUACAAGUUGUUCGCAAUUGUUCUCUUCCCGGCAUUUCAAAGAAAGUCGACUGUUUAAGGUUCCCAUUUUGCCAAUAUCUGUUUUGUGUGUUACUUUUGUGUCAAUAAUAAAGAUCCUUUUUUGAAAUGCA